UCUGUCUGCCUCUGCCCCCGCGUCCUGGGAUUAAAGGUGGGUGCCAUCACUGCCUGGCCUCUAUGGCUAACCCGUUGUUUAGCUCCACACUAUGAUCUUCAGGCAAGCUUUAUUUGUUAGAUCACAAACAAAGUAUCACCACAAUUAUGUAUUGUUUAAAAUGAUUUUAGAGUCAUAAUGUAUUUGGUAUACCAUCUUUUGUUUUAGUUUUUCCUUCAGUAAAAUAACUAAAUCACCUGUCCUUCCCAAAGGGGUGUCUGAAGUUCCAGGAGGAAAGGAGCCUGGAAAAAGAAGACCCCAAGAAUGGAUACAGUUCCCUUCUCCCUCUCAAGGUUUUCCUUCUGCAAGAACCUAAAUCAGGUUUUCCAGUGUGUCUAUUUAGUAUGGUACCAUGCUCUUCAACUGGUGGGCCAGAAUCCAGUGUGUUCUGGCUGGGAAGGUAAGUGAUGUCCCUGUGGAGGUUCAGGCCCUCAGGAAGCAGGUCGCUGCUGGGCUGAGUGACAGCUUGGGAGAUGGACAUCUCUGUGCUGGCAUAGCCUGUCUCAGAGCUGGCCUUUCCCUGGGGUCAUGAGGCCAGGCCUUUGCCGCUCCUUAGCGCCUCCUGGAGGCAGGAAAGGUGGCCUUCCAGGAGCUCAGUCAAUAGCCGGAGAGUGAGCUAGGGUGGGAGUGGGGGAAUAAUUCACACACUCACGUAGUAUCCUGCACCCCCAGGCGGCUCUCCAUCGUCAGCUUAGCUGGCUCAUGCCAGAUAUCAGGUGAAAGCUUACUGAGGAUUUUCUCUACAGGUUUGUGGGAGUGUGCCCAGCUGUGAGGGAAACAUCCUCCAUCCUCCGACUGGAUCAGUCUGUGGCCGUCUCUGCUCACUCUUUCUGCCAUCUCUUCACCAAAUAGCUCUCACAGAUGACUUUCAAAGCAACCAUGGUUUCCCAUGUUGGUCUCACCAUCCUUCUCUUCAGCUUCCACCAAAAGAUGUCCCCCAAGGGGCACUGAAAGAGGCUGACUUAAAGAGUAUGACCAGGGACUAAGACCGACGGAGGUGUCUCCAUGGAGACCUGGGCAGAGGUAGCUCUCAGCUCAGCAGACCCCACCCCCAGAGCCAUGGAUUCGGAUCAUCCAGUGAAAGAGGAGAAUCUCCUCCCUUCUGGAGUUCAGGAGGAAUGCAGUGGAACCAGGCUUCCUGCCCACUGCUCCCAAGGAUUUGUAAAUAUUUGUGUACCUCCUGCCUCUACUAGAUACAGUCCCUUAAUGGAAGGGACUGUCGUCUUUUCAUUGGCCAUUGCACUGGUCACCGACUUCACUGCAACAAAUUGGCGUCUGCAAAUGAUGGCCAUGGCCACUGGUAAAGAACAGGCCUGGGUGUGGACACAGUCAAGGAUACCUUGCUAUCUGGCUUAUGAUGAGAAACUUACUCUGUUUCCUAUGUGGCUGUGAACAGUUACCCAAUCCCCCACAUAGCUUUUGGCUCUCCACCCUCUGUACAUGUGUCUCUGGAGCUGUAUGAUUCCAUAGUACAUGGUUAGGGGACAGAAUCGGACAUAUGCGUGGAUCAGAAUUGUUUUCUGUCAACCUGUGGGUUUUCCUGCUUUGUUCAAUUGUUUCUUCUAUAAAUAUCGGCAAAUAAAAUUAUAUAAGAUCAA